GUAAAGUUUCACUGGAGCCUCCAUGCAAACUGUCAGCUGAAGAAAAACUGGGAAACCCUUUGGACGUUGCAGAAAUGGGGGCAGCAGAUUAAUAAACACAACGCUGGGGUGAGAACAAUAUCCAGUGGUCAGCAUUUGCACCAAGGACUCGACACGUCCGCCUUGAAAUCGAAGACAACACAGGGGAAUUACAAGACAAACGCAGGAGUCAAGGUAGAGCAUCAGUGACGAUAGUUGGAACCUGUAUA